UGGAAGCAGCUGCAUGAUGUGCCAACCACAUUGCGAUCAGAGAAAAGAGCUGCGCAGUUAUCUCUCUUUCUAUGUGCAGUACGGCAGUAUGUUAUGACGAAUUUCAGUAUGUUCCCACUGUAUGUAGUGGGAAAAUAGUGGUCACGCAGCACGUCAUUUUUUUAACGAGCGGACCGCUCACUUCGAAGCCCUCGCUCAAACGAGCCCUCAAAAUUCCCUUCUAUCGUUCCUUCAUUGCGAGGGUCUCGUUCCGGCAGACUUGAUGCCUUCAGGUAUAGUAUGCGAGUGAUGAUGCCUUCAGGUAAUAAGUUCUCCUUGGCAAUUCUCACCAUGGUUCCUUUGUUAGCGUGGCCGGCAGAAGAACUUGGAAGAAGAGAAGGAGAAGCGCGGGUGGCGAGUGCCUUUAACUUUUAUAUGAAUUUAUAACACCACACUAUUCAUGGCCAGUCCCCAGACGUGGUUGUGAGCAACGGCGACUGGGCGAACAGGAACUAGAGCUCGACUCCUGCGGACACUGCUCGGCAGGCUGCGCGUGUCUGUCCUGGACUGUCUGCAGGUCGAGACAUCCGGAGACGCGGCCGCGGAUCCCACAGCUCAUACUGCUGCGGCCUCGGCUUCUUCGCGUCCACCGGGGCGAGGCUUAGGCGACCCCGUGCUUUCUGUCCUGCAUGCAGCAGCAAGCAUUCCAGCGGCGAUACUGGGGCUGCAUUCUUUGUGCGCCCGGUUCCCAGGCAGCGAGCGGGCGUCGUCGCACGUUGACCGUGGAGAAAGAAGAAACCUGACGUACUCAUUAGUGGAGGCAGCCGUAUGGAGCGACAACGUUUUCCCGUCGUCCUGGAACUUCUCAACUGCACUUUAAUUAAAUGAAUGCGUGACAGGCUACAUACAAACA
rnacentral:lncRNA from 1 species